GGAAAAGUUAUCGACGACGACGAGUCAAUUUCAACUGAACGCAAUUUUAACGGAUAUUCAGAGCUGGAGAACUACGGAGCAGCUGUCGAGCAUGGAUGACUUGGAUGUCACAACACUGUCUGUGUUACAAGCUGCUGAUGUUGAUGAAGGGGUUUUAAAAACCCUCUCUCGGGAUGAUCUUUUGGAUCUUCUUCCUGGACCACAGAACUUUCUGCGAAGAAAGAAGUUGUGGGAUCACAUUCAUCCAAAGGAACAGAGUGAGAAUGCAGUGAGAGAAGCCAUUGAUCAGCCAUCCAUGUUGCCAAGCCAGCCAUCCACACAUGCCAUGUUGCCAAGCCUGC